CGCCGCGCGCCGGCGGGCGGGGCGGGGGCACGGGGGGACUCCUACGGGAGGCAGCAGUAGGGAAUAUUGCUCAAUGGGCGAAAGCCUGAAGCAGCAACGCCGCGUGGAGGAUGAAGGUCUUCGGAUUGUAAACUCCUUUUCUAAGAGAAGAUUAUGACGGUAUCUUAGGAAUAAGCACCGGCUAACUCCGUGCCAGCAGCCGCGGUAAU
rnacentral:rRNA from 1 species